UUUGCUUCUGGGCUGAAAUAUGAUGCAGAAAUGGUCUUGACAGCUCACCGUAACAUAAAUCCCCCGAUGUUUUACAAAAUCCUAAAAGAAUCUCUGCAAAGAUAUCUCUGUCUGCUGUACAACACUCAAUUUGACUACAUUUAAAUUCACUGAAUUAAUAAUGCGCCGAUGAUUUUGAUCUAUUUGUAGAUGUUGAAUAAUUUACUAUAAGACUUAGCUUUAGGGAUCAGGUUUUCCUCAUUUAAAAAACCCCAUUGGUUACAAAAAAGCCCAAAAAAGCUGUGCUUUGCAGAACACACAAACACCCUUAUUGCAUAUUUGUGGUAUUUUGCGCUCCCGGCACAUUUUUGUAACUUUAAGAGGGCUGCUGUAGGCUUCAGCAGUAAAUGAUAGACUCUGAGUCUCGACGCUCUGCAGUGCAAAACCUCCUGCAUUCCUCCUAAUGGGCAGGUAGGCUCUUACAGGCUAUUUUCCAAUGUAAUACGUGCUGUGACCCUGUAAAGGCUAAAGAUAUCCAGUGGCAUGUGUUUUGAAUGCAGUAAUGACCACUGCUUGGUCGUUUUUGCGACUUACUCUUGAUGAUCAGAGACCCGAAAGUGACGCUACCCAGAUUUAGUGUUUCCCUUCUCUUCUCUAAACUAUAAAAAGCGAAAACAAGCUCUCCUGGAAAUUCUGUAUUUUGAAAUAUAUUUUUAAAAAGCAUGUUGUGAGCCAUAUGAAAUCUCAAAACUGGGACUUAUUUGUCAAACAUACCCAAGAGAGACAGAAGAAGAGAAAGAGAGCAAGAUUGUGUGGUUGAGAGAAUGGGAGCUAAACUGAGAACAGCAGGAACAACAUCACAUCUAUGAUCACUUGCACUGCAGAUCUCCGAUUUAAAGGCCCAGGUCUCAGGAGUAGACAAGAGGACGGUCAGCCCAUACAGUUUUCCGUCCUUGAUCUGACAUGUGUCAUCUACAAACAUGCCAGAGGCUGGAAGAACUUGUUGUCUGAUCAUGAUGUCCUGGAAUGCGCAAGACUGGUGUGGCCCGGCUUUGUUUCUAGGAAUUUAGGAGUUACCAGGAACUAAAUGUUCCUCCUGCAAGCCUGCAAUGUUCACAAGUCAGUAAAGGUGUAUGAGAUUUAAUCAGUCAUACUGUCUAUGAUGUUUAAGUUUGAACAUGUCUGCAUUGACCAACCAAGCUAGUGUUAAAUUUUAUUGUGAAGUCCUAACUAAAAAUAAAUAAAUUAAAAUAAAUAAAUAAAUAAAUAAAUAAAAAUAAUAAAUAAUAAAAUAAAAAGAAAUAAAAAUGUUCAUUAUUUACUGCCCGUUCCAAACUAAAGAUGCCCAAAAAUGACAAUCAAACUACUUUUAUGAUACUUUAUGGUGCUUAUUUUUAACCUUUAUAGUAAUUUGGCAUCACCUGGUCAUUAUAUAUUUUGGUUGUAUGGAAAAGAGCAGUGUGAAAUAUCUUCUUUUGUUUUCCACAGAAGAAAGAAAUCAUGCGGGUUUGGAACAACAUCAAGAAGAGUUUCUGUUAAUGUGGGUUUUUUGGAGCUUUGCCAUCAUGCUGACAAGCGACGCAUGCUGAUUGGUUUGAGAGCAGGGUCAACAUGAAGAGUGCAUGCAGAUGACAUCACCCUUGCCAAGGGGCUUCCUGCUGGAGGAGGUCCUCUUUGAGACGUCGCAGGAAUGACAGGAUAAGAAGUAUGACCUCAAAGCUUCCCAGUAGGUGUCUGGAUAUCGGUAAGCGUCGUAAUAUAAGCAGUUCCUAAGAACACGUGGUGACUCCGCCAGACUUAUUUAGAAUGAAAAUAUUCCACUGAGAAAUUUCAGCCGCAUUAGGGUUCAGUUGCCAAGCUAUUUCAGGCCAUCCAUGGAGCUAUUUCACAAGAAAUUGCACUAGAUGUAUAAUUCAGUUGGUCUCUGUAAUGUGGACCUGCUAUUAACUUGGGCUGCUAGGAGAACAUCAUGAAAGGAAUUGCCUCUUAUUUCUAACUCAUUGUGAUCCAUUGUUCCCCACUGCAUUCAAUGCCAUAUGUAAAACAAUCCAGUCCUUUUACUCAUUUAUUUUUAUAUGCCUUCAAUAUCAAUAAAUGUUUAAUGGAAAACUAUACAGUCACAGUGGAGUGAUUUUAACGGGGGGAAUCUCUUUAGGAUGUUAUUAAAAUAGUAGAUCACUUCAGCAUGGAAGAAUUCUGCCUUCGUAUAUUAAUGUACAUAAUACUUUUUUAAAGACAUUCUUUGCUUAUGGGCAGAAGGAUAAGACUUGGUUCAAUUAAAUUAUUGCUCUGACAAUGGCUUGGAUGAGUAUGAUUCCUUCUACUUUUUUAUGUAACAAUAUUUAAUCUCAUUCUGGCACUUUUUAUGAA